UAACUAGCUGUUCGGGCUCAUAGAGCUUGAGUGGCGCAGCUAACGCAUUAAGUUAUCCGCCUGGGGAGUACGGUCGCAAGAUUAAAACUCAAAGGAAUUGACGGGGGCCUGCACAAGCGGUGGAGCAUGUGGUUUAAUUCGAAGCAACGCGCAGAACCUUACCAGCGUUUGACAUCCUUGUCGCGGUUUCCAGAGAUGGAUUCCUUCAGUUCGGCUGGACAAGUGACAGGUGCUGCAUGGCUGUCGUCAG
rnacentral:rRNA from 1 species